CACACUAUUGCAUUCAUGGAUGGUGUCACUUUACCAAAUACUUCCUUUUCUAAAGCAACAAAAAAUAAAUCAGUUGUAAGAGAAAGUAUAUAUACUUUCUGAUCUUCCCUUUUGUUAUAAACAAUUUCCCAAGUGCCUGCUCAAGGUUACACUUUCUCUAACAGUUACUUUAACAGGUUUUACUGUCUCUAUUUACUCUUUUAGCUUUUCUAGUCCUUAAGGCUAAGUAGAAACCCUAAUCCUUGUGUUUACCCAGACAUUUUCUAAGGUCAAGGACAACUAUCCAAGCUGGUUAAUGGCUAUAUUCUUUAAAAAUAUUCUAGGUUUGGUUCAGUACUUAAAAUCAUCCAAUGCCUUCGAUGGCAGUGUUAAUCAUUGUAUUCCAUACUUUUUUUUUGCCUACCUCUCCUUACAGAAUCAGCCUCCAUUUUUCUUCUGGAGAUUUACCCUUUCCCCAUUCUCAGUCUAUGAGGUCUCGAUGGCAUUCUGACCCUUACAUCAAGAGUGGAGCUGUGACUUAGAACCAAGACAAUUUACACAUGUGUUCCUGAGGUGGGUACAUGACCUAAACCAGUGCAAUCUGAGGACAUUUCAAGACUUUUAAGAAUGCCACCAGCAGAUAUAUUUUUUCUCCAUUGGAUAUGAAUUUAAGAUGCCAAAGCUAUCAUUUCUGCAGCCAUCUAAUGACCAUGAGGGAACUGUCUGAGAUUGGAGCCAACCUGAAAGACAUGGAGGUGAAGAGUUGGAAAUAUUUCUGCCUUAUCAAACAGCCUCAGUUCCAGAGAGAGACUCAGAACAUCUGCCAUUGGUUGAUGUCAUCACAGCCGCCUAGAAGAACAAUUUUCUACGGUGAUGCACGUUCUGUGAUGUCACUGGGAUUACAAAAACUGGCAAGGACAUCUGCUAUUAGCACUUAUCACUGGAAAUUACAA